UACGGAGGGUGCAAACGUUGCUCGGAAUCAUUGGGCGUAAAGCGCACGUAGGCGGUCGGCUAUGUCGGAUGUGAAAGCCUCGGGCUUAACCCGAGAAGGGCAUCCGAAACUGGCCGGCUUGAGUACGGAAGAGGGUCUCGGAAUUCCCGGUGUAGAGGUGAAAUUCGUAGAUAUCGGGAGGAACACCAGUGGCGAAGGCGGAGACCUGGGCCGAUACUGACGCUGAGGUGCGAAAGCGUGGGUAGCAAACAGG
rnacentral:rRNA from 1 species